rnacentral:rRNA from 1 species
UACGUAGGGGGCAAGCGUUGUUCGGAAUUACUGGGCGUAAAGGGCGCGUAGGCGGCACGGCAAGUCGGGAGUGAAAGCCCGGGGCUCAACCCCGGAGGGUCUCUCGAAACUGCCGAGCUAGAGUGCGGAAGAGGCAACCGGAAUUCCCAGUGUAGCGGUGAAAUGCGUAGAGAUCCGGAAGAACACCGGUGGCGAAGGCGGCCCGCUGGGCAGUGACUGACGCUGAGGCGCGACAGCGUGGGGAGCAAACAGG